CCUACGGGAGGCAGCAGUGAGGAAUAUUGGACAAUGGGCGCAAGCCUGAUCCAGCCAUGCCGCGUGCAGGAAGAAGCAUCUAUGGUGUGUAAACUGCUUUUGUACGGGAAGAAACACUGCUACGUGUAGCAGCUUGACGGUACCGUAAGAAUAAGGAUCGGCUAACUCCGUGCCAGCAGCCGCGGUAAUACGGAGGAUCCAAGCGUUAUCCGGAAUCAUUGGGUUUAAAGGGUCCGUAGGCGGUUUGGUAAGUCAGUGGUGAAAGCCCAUCGCUUAACGAUGGAACGGCCAUUGAUACUGCCAGACUUGAAUUACUAGGAAGUAACUAGAAUAUGUAGUGUAGCGGUGAAAUGCUUAGAUAUUACAUGGAAUACCAAUUGCGAAGGCAGGUUACUACUAGUUUAUUGACGCUGAUGGACGAAAGCGUGGGGAGCGAACAGGAUUAGAUACCCUGGUAGUCCACGCCGUAAACGAUGGAUACUAGCUGUUCGGGGUAACCUGAGUGGCUAAGCGAAAGUGAUAAGUAUCCACCUGGGGAGUACGUUCGCAAGAUUGAAACUUAAAGGAAUUGAGGCUUGAGAGNGCGAGACGACGACGAGGAGAGG
rnacentral:rRNA from 1 species